ACCUGAGCGGCGACGUCUCUCCUCCUCCCUGACGUCGCCGCAUCUUAUUUUAAGUGUGAGCUCUCCUCCUCCCUGCUCACACCUAACGGAAACGGCGGCGUCCACCUCCUCCCGGGCGCCGCCGUUUUC
rnacentral:sRNA from 1 species